GACGAGGGGUCCAAGCGUUGUUCGGAAUCAUUGGGCGUAAAGCGGGUGUAGGUGGCUUUGUAAGUCAGGAGUGAAAUCCCCGAGCUUAACUUGGGAAGUGCUUUUGAAACUGCAGGGCUUGAGUGUGGGAGAGGAUCGUGGAAUUCCAGGUGUAGUGGUGAAAUACGUAGAUAUCUGGAGGAACACCGGUGGCGAAGGCGGCGAUCUGGCCCAACACUGACACUGAGACCGAAAGCGUGGGGAUCAAACAGG
rnacentral:rRNA from 1 species